UACGGGGGGAGCAAGCGUUGUUCGGAUUUACUGGGCGUAAAGGGCUCGUAGGCGGCCAACUAAGUCGGACGUGAAAUCCCUCGGCUUAACCGGGGAACUGCGUCCGAUACUGGAUGGCUUGAGGUUGGGAGAGGGAUGCGGAAUUCCAGGUGUAGCGGUGAAAUGCGUAGAUAUCUGGAGGAACACCGGUGGCGAAGGCGGCAUCCUGGACCAAUUCUGACGCUGAGGCGCGAAAGCCAGGGGAGCAAACGGG
rnacentral:rRNA from 1 species